ensembl:lncRNA
GGUGGAAGCUGAAUUAGUGAGGAUGACUCCUGCUCCUGUCAUCUCUAAGCUCCUCACACAUCUUUACCUGCACGAGGAAAAUCACUCCUGUAGAAUGCAGAUGUUCAGAGGGAGAUGAUGCCACAUCUGGUCCAGCUGAUGGAAGGUCUUGAAGUUCUCUGACUGGCCUCGACUGAAGAUGGUCGUCUCACUGGAUUUAAGGUUCAGAUGCUCAGUAACAAACUCUACCAAUGAGCCAGCAGGGAAGCUUUAGGUUUAUUAAAUGUUGCUAUGAAGGUAUCGCUGUUUUUCUUUGUGAAUGCAAUGCGCUCCAACUGAAACUUGAAUUAGAACUUAGAAGUAAAUCCUUUCAUCUGAAAGGAUUUAGUUGCAUUAAUAACCUCACAACAUUCUUAUUUUUAUUCCCGUCUUGGUUGGAAAUAGAAUCUCUGUAUUGAUUCAGGUAAAAACUGAACUUCACAGCAUGUUGGAGCAAAACAACCAGAUGAAAACUGUGAUGGUGUUGGAUUGUCAGACCGUAAUGUUGCAGCUCAAAGCAGCUUUUCUAGCUCAGUUCAUUCUGACAUUCAGCUAUGAAUCAACACAGCAGAUGGUGAUCCAUGCUGUGGAAGUCUCACAUCUCCUGAUUUAAUGGAGCUGCUUUGCACUUUUUACACUGUUUAUUCACCAGCACUUUAUUAUAAUAAAAGUCCCAUCUAGUUUUUAUGAGGAAUGUGAUGUUUUAAUUUCUCUGUGAAUAACUGCAGUCUAAGGGAACAGCUGGAGUUGUAACAUCUGUCCUGAUAUUGAUCAUGAAGUAUUGAUCAGAAUACUUAUGGUUAGCAGUCAUCUCUGAGGUUUUACAUUAAAAUUUUUACUUGUGUUGUGAACUUUGGUAAGAAGCAGAAACUUUAGCGUUGCCAUGGAUACAUGAGUGUUAAAUUCUGUCCAUGUUUCCAUUUUGGGAAAUUCAGUCCAGCAGAUGAGUUUGUUUUUACUGCCAGCUACCAUUCAGUCUGAGAUAUUAACAAUAAAUAAAUUUGCAUAAUGUGGAAAUGAACAGAUUUUAUUUUGAUUUAUUCCUACAAGUGCUGCAGGUAAAGUUCCAGAAUGUGGAGAAAUUUAGUCUCACAAUCACAGACAACAAAUAUUAUCUGGAAGUCAGGUUAUUGUUGUUUAUCAGCACGUGUUAGACAUAUUCCGGCUAAGACUCUAGAAUAUCAGGAUUUAUGUAAAUUUACCUCAAUAAUAUGAAUGUUCAGGUUAAGAUUGUACAGUGAUAUUUAUGUAAGUUUAGCUGAUUAAAGUUUAUGACUCUGCACUACAGUAUUAUUUAUUAUUUAAAUUUACAUCAUUAUGAUAAUAUUUAGGGUCACACCCUACAGUAUUGAGAUUAAGAAAUCAAAUAUUCUAUAAAAUGUAAAUACACUGAACUCCUUUGGAUAUAUUUAAGUGAGACUCUACAACGUUAGUUGACACAAAUCUAUCUGAUUAAAAUCAUCGUGUUUUAAUCAUUUUUACUCCAAACAUUGACUGGACUGAUUUAAACAUUAAAAUCACUCCUUUCUAAUCCUCUGCUGUACGUUGAAACCUGAGGCCUUUAAUAGAAACACACAAGUAUCUGAUUGAAGGAACUUCUGCAGAGUCCUGGUUCCAGAACAUGAUGAUAGAAUUAUAGACAAAUUUUAACAAAAGCUGCCUGAGAGUUUGCAGGUUUUUAUGUUAGAUUUCUUCAGUAAUUUAAUGAGAGUUAUCAGCAACAAUCAGGUGUUCAUUUGAUGAACUUCAUUUUCUAAAACAUCCAGAAUUGGAACUCAUAUCUUUGGCAGCUGUAAAGUUUCUGCUCCUUCAAGGUUCACAACACAAUGAAUUAAUUCCUAAAACACUCUCAAUGCUGGAGAGCGUUUGUGAUGCUGAAGCAGUGAUCAGUUUUUCUGUUUCUUCUCUGGAGAUGCACAAUGAGGGACGUCUGCAGAGACUGAGAAAGAGUCUCACCACAUCCUGACAUAAGGAAAAAGACUUUAUUGAAGACUACAAUGAGAAAAACUAUCAGACAGCAGACGGCUGCAUUCAAGUCUGUAGCUGCUGAAUUCAUGGAUGAAUCAUCUGGCACUAGAGAGGAAGACCAUCAAACAUCCACGUCAGCUGAUGGAGGUCCAAGAGUCUCACUGAACAACCAACCUACAGAGUGAAGACCUCGAAUCUGAUUGGACGGCCUCCUAUUCAGCCACAUGUGUGAACAAAUGCCUCUAAGUUGGUUUCUUUUCUAAAAUAAAUCUAGUUUGAGUCCUAAUCUAUGCCUGUGUGUUUGCUUCUUUACACCACUGUUGACAGUUUAGGCUGUUAGAUUGUUCCAGAUAAAACGAGUACAAGAUACUUCAGAGCCGUUCUACCACGAGCCUGACAGGAAGAACUCCAACAGCUACUGAAUGUUCCUGUGGUCCCCUCAAGGCUACAGGAGGAGCCCUACGAGGACGAGCAGGUCCACCUGAUGGCGGCCAGUCGCUGCGGUUCAAAGCCAACACCGACUACAUGGACUUCUACUGGACCACACGGAGGCCUUCAAACCGGACCAACAAGUUCAGCGACUCCCCGACUGGUGGGUCUGAGGACGCCACCGAGCCUCGGUCCAGCCGGCCUCCUGUCUGUGGGUGUUUGAGUGCUGAGAGGUUAAUGGAUGCAUGUGAACAUGUCUGUGUUGAAACAGCAGCUUUGGACUCAGUAACGCCAGGAAAAACCAAGAGCUCCUUUAUUUGUGACUUCCACUAAAAAAAAUGAAGAAAAUAAGUUUGCCAGGGUUCUGACUGAUAACAGAUUAAUAAAUAAUGAAAAUAAUCG